rnacentral:rRNA from 1 species
UACGAAGGGGGCUAGCGUUGCUCGGAAUUACUGGGCGUAAAGCGCACGUAGGCGGCUUUCUAAGUCAGGGGUGAAAUCCUGGAGCUCAACUCCAGAACUGCCUUUGAUACUGGGAAGCUUGAGUUCGGGAGAGGUGAGUGGAACUGCGAGUGUAGAGGUGAAAUUCGUAGAUAUUCGCAAGAACACCAGUGGCGAAGGCGGCUCACUGGCCCGAUACUGACGCUGAGGUGCGAUAGCGUGGGGAGCAAACAGG